rnacentral:misc_RNA from 1 species
GAUGAAGAACGUAGCGAAAUGCGAUAAGUAAUGUGAAUUGCAGAAUUCAGUGAAUCAUCGAAUCUUUGAACGCACAUUGUGCCCGCCAGUAUUCUGGCGGGCAUGCCUGUUCGAGCGUCAUUUCAACCAUCAAGCCCCAGGCUUGUGUUGGGGACCUGCGGCUGCCGCAGGCCCUGAAAACCAGUGGCGGGCUCGCUGUCACACCGGGCGUAGUAGAUUUUAUCUCGCUCAGGGCGUGCUGCGGGUCCCGGCCGUUAAAAGCCUUUUUUUACCCAAGGUUGACCUCGGAUCAGGUAGGAAGACCCGCUGAACUUAAGCAUAUCAAUAAGCGGAGGA